rnacentral:misc_RNA from 1 species
AAGGUACAAACUUAUUUCUAUGAGAUUUUGAAGUUUAUUAGCUUAUUUUAUAUUUUUAGACGUAUCAACUAAUGAGAAAUAAGGUGAAUUUUACAAUUAUUAUCUUAGAAUUUAAUUAUGAGUUUUUUAAACCUUUGUUCAAUUGUUUGCUCUCAUGAACUAAAUUCAGCACGUCCUAAAUUCUAUGUGCAGUUUAUAGAUUCUGUUUAACUUAGUUGUUGGACUUGGAGCGGAGAUAUAUGAGAUGAAAGAGAUGUGAAUUAUAUUAUUUAUUAAACAGGCUCUUCAGAAACAUUAGCUUUUAAAUUUUGUUCAUGUUGUUGCCUUGUGAUGCUUGUUGGAGCAAUUAUUAUUAUUGAAAAAUGUCGAUUUAUGCUAAAUUAUUGUACUAUUUAUUUAUGUAUCUUUUUUAAUUAGGAUUUGAUUUUUUAUUUUGUAAUGGAGGUACGCAGGCA